AGUUGACUGCACAAAUCCCACCUUUGGCCUCCUCCUCACUGCCCUUCCAAAGAAAACUUCUCCUAAGCUUGUCGAUCCUCUUGAUCAGCCACUUGCUAGGAGCGAACAGGGUCAACAGGUAGGUGGUGAUAGAGGUAAGGACUGAGUUGAUCAACGUUAGCCUUCCCGCUUUGUUCAGGAGCUUGCCUUUCCAUCCUGCGAGCUUCGCAGCUAUCUUGUCAAUCAGAAUUUGGAGGUCGGCGCGCCUAAGGUUGUGGAGGCUAAGUGGUAGCCCGAGAUAUUUGCAAGGGAAAGAGUCAGUUGUUCCCGCGAACUCGGAGAGCACUUCAUUAGUUGCCAGCUCAUCACAACAGAUAGGGAAAGCCGAGGACUUGUUGAAGUUGGUGUAGAGUCCAGAGAUUCUCCCAAAGGCUUCCAGGAUUGCUUGUGAGGCCAUCAUCUCAGACUUGCACGGGUUCAGAA
rnacentral:rRNA from 1 species